AUCAGUGGCGAACGGGUGAGUAACACGUGAGCAAUCUGCCCUUGACUCUGGGAUAACUGCGGGAAACUGUAGCUAAUACCGGAUAUUACCUUGGAAGGCAUCUUCUGGGGUGGAAAGAAUUUUGGUCAAGGAUGAGCUCGCGGCCUAUCAGCUAGUUGGUGAGGUAAUGGCUCACCAAGGCGACGACGGGUAGCCGGCCUGAGAGGGUGACCGGCCACACUGGGACUGAGACACGGCCCAGACUCCUACGGGAGGCAGCAGUGGGGAAUAUUGGACAAUGGGCGGAAGCCUGAUCCAGCAACGCCGCGUGGGGGAUGACGGCCUUCGGGUUGUAAACCUCUUUCAGUAUCGACGAAGCGCCUGUAUGGGUGGUGACGGUAGGUACAGAAGAAGCACCGGCCAACUACGUGCCAGCAGCCGCGGUAAUACGUAGGGUGCGAGCGUUGUCCGGAAUUAUUGGGCGUAAAGGGCUCGUAGGCGG
rnacentral:rRNA from 1 species